GCGUGGAUGAAGAAGGCCUUCGGGUUGUAAAGUCCUUUCGUUGGUGACGAUAAUGACGGUAACCAAAGAAGAAGCCCCGGCUAAUUUCGUGCCAGCAGCCGCGGUAAUACGAAAGGGGCUAGCGUUGUUCGGAAUUACUGGGCGUAAAGCGCACGUAGGCGGCCUUGUAAGAUGGGGGUGAAAUCCCCGGGCUCAACCCGGGAACUGCCUUCAUGACUGCAAAGCUUGAGGAUGUGAGAGGUUGGCGGAAUUCCGAGUGUAGAGGUGAAAUUCGU
rnacentral:rRNA from 1 species